rnacentral:rRNA from 1 species
AUUGAACGCUGGCGGCAGGCCUAACACAUGCAAGUCGAGCGGAUGAAGGGAGCUUGCUCCUGGAUUCAGCGGCGGACGGGUGAGUAAUGCCUAGGAAUCUGCCUGGUAGUGGGGGAUAACGUCCGGAAACGGGCGCUAAUACCGCAUACGUCCUGAGGGAGAAAGUGGGGGAUCUUCGGACCUCACGCUAUCAGAUGAGCCUAGGUCGGAUUAGCUAGUUGGUGGGGUAAAGGCCUACCAAGGCGACGAUCCGUAACUGGUCUGAGAGGAUGAUCAGUCAAACUGGAACUGAGACACGGUCCAGACUCCUACGGGAGGCAGCAGUGGGGAAUAUUGGACAAUGGGCGAAAGCCUGAUCCAGCCAUGCCGCGUGUGUGAAGAAGGUCUGCGGAUUGUAAAGCACUUUAAGUUGGGAGGAAGGGCAGUAAGUUAAUACCUUGCUGUUUUGACGUUACCAACAGAAUAAGCACCGGCUAACUUCGU